rnacentral:lncRNA from 1 species
CUUGAAUCCUUGUCUCCCUGAAAUGACGCAGUUUCGUCGUCUGUACUACAACUUCCAAUAACACCCAUUCGUCAAGAACGAAGGGCCCCACCAAGCAUUUAAUCCAACGGCUUGUAAUUCUUCUCUGUGACAAUCUUGGCAUUCGAAUAACCCAGCUAGUUAAUCCGACAUUAAGCAGUACCUCCAGGAAGCCCCUCCUGACCAACCAAUCCAUCAUCGAAACCUCCUUCUUAGAACCCCACCUGUUUGUGAUAUUGUCCUUUUGGUGUACGCUGAUGAAGGGAUUGAUUGGAUGAAUAAUAGCCAAACCACAAUUAUGUUGUGGAGGAUAAAGUAAAACUUCUCACAUGCCAUGGAUAUAAUCACUUCUUUAAGGUCUUCUGUAAUUUGUAAAAGUGUUUUCUCGAAUCAACAGUUUGGAAAUUGAGAAUGGCGUUUUCUUGCUAGUUUGAUGCAUGAAGAUAAUGAAAAUGAAAGAGUUUAUUCAGACUUUCUUGGGGCGGGGUGGUGUUUAUUUUUUAUUUUUUUAUUUUUUUAUUUUUC